UCCGGUUGAUCCUGCCGGACCCCACUGCUAUCGGGAUGGGACUAAGACAUGCUAGUUGAGCGUUUCCAGCCAAUAGGAGACGCAGCGCACAGCUCAGUAACACGUGGCUAAUCUGCCCUUGGGACCGGAACACCCCCGGGAAACUGGGGCUAAUUCUCGAUAGGUGAAGAACUCUGGAAUGAGUCUUUGCCAAAAAGAUGCUAGAGUUAUGCUCUUUGGCAUCGCCCAAGGAUGAGGCCGCGACCGAUCAGGUUGUUGGUGAGGUAAUGGCUCACCAAGCCUUUUGCCGGUGCGGGCCGUGAGAGCGGGAGCCCGGAGAUGGGCACUGAGACAAGGGCCCAGGCCCUACGGGGCGCAGCAGUCGCGAAAACUUUGCAAUACACGAAAGUGUGACAGGGCUAUCCCGAGUGCCAUCCGCUGAGGAAGGCUUUUACCCAGUCUAGAACGCUGGGGGAAUAAGGAGAGGGCAAGUCUGGUGUCAGCCGCCGCGGUAAUACCAGCUCUCCGAGUGGUGUGGAUGUUUAUUGGGCCUAAAGCAUCCGUAGCUGGCUAAGUUAGUCCCUUGUUAAAUCCACCGAAUUAAUCGUUGGAUUGCAGGGGGAUACUGCUUGGCUAGGGGACGAGAGAGGCAGACGGUAUUUCCGGGGUAGGGGUGAAAUCCUAUAAUCCCGGGAAGACCACCAGUGGCGAAGGCUGUCUGCUAGAACGCGCCCGACGGUGAGGGAUGAAAGCUGGGGGAGCGAACCGGAUUAGAUACCCGGGUAGUCCCAGCUGUAAACGAUGCAGGCUAGUGUUUGGACGGCCACGUGCCGUUCUAGUGCCGCAGGGAAGCUGUUAAGCCUGCCGCCUGGGGAGUACGAUCGCAAGAUUGAAACUUAAAGGAAU
rnacentral:rRNA from 1 species